rnacentral:tRNA from 1 species
GAGGGUAUGGUUCAAGUGGUAGAGUGCGUGCUUAGCAUGCACGAGGUCCUGGGUUCAAUCCUCAGUACCUCCU